UCUUUAAUUUAUACUUAGUGAAUCAGUAAAUUUAAAAUACGUUAAAUGGCUUUAUGGAAUUUCCAAAGGAACUCUUCGAAGAGGAAAUUUCAAAUUAUGUGAUAGAUUAAAGAUUAUGGCUAUUAUUCGAUAAAUGAGUGUUUUUUUACUCACUUGAUGUGUGAUAUGUUACCACAAACAAAGUCCAAUUUUGAAGGUACAAACAUCAGAAAGUCCUGAAUUCUAGCAACAUUAGUCUAUGUACGGACACUUUUCAACUCGUUUUACUUCAUCUAGCUAAUCAUUUUCUUUAAUCUAAGAGCCAUUA